rnacentral:rRNA from 1 species
UACAGAGGUCUCAAGCGUUGUUCGGAUUCAUUGGGCGUAAAGGGUGCGUAGGCGGCGCGGUAAGUCGGGUGUGAAAUCUCGGAGCUUAACUCCGAAACUGCAUUCGAUACUGCCGUGCUUGAGGACUGGAGAGGAGACUGGAAUUUACGGUGUAGCGGUGAAAUGCGUAGAUAUCGUAAGGAAGACCAGUGGCGAAGGCGGGUCUCUGGGCUGACACUGACGCUCAUGCACGAAAGCGUGGGGAGCAAACGAGG